UACGGAGGGAGCUAGCGUUGUUCGGAAAUACUGGGCGUAAAGCGCACGUAGGCGGCGCAGCAAGUCAGGGGUGAAAUCCCGGGGCUCAACCCCCGGAACUGCCCUUGAAACUGCAGUGCUAGAAUCUUGGAGAGGCGAGUGGAAUUCCGAGUGUAGAGGUGAAAUUCGUAGAUAUUCGGAAGAACACCAGUGGCGAAGGCGACUCGCUGGACAAGUAUUGACGCUGAGGUGCGAAAGCGUGGGGAGCAAACAGG
rnacentral:rRNA from 1 species